GGCCGCGUGGCCUAAUGGCAUGGCGUCAGAUUUCGGUUAUCCAAUAGAAGAUAAUUUAUUCUCUGAAGAUUGUCGGUUCGAAUCCGGCCGUGGUCG